AGGCUUCGGUCCCGGGUGACUGCUCCUCCCCAGCCCACACCGACAGCCCUUGCUGCCUCACCACCUCCAGCCAGGAAGGGGUUGGGCUAAUGCUACACCCACCGACACUUCCCUGGAAUACACACCCUUGCCAACUGUACCGCACCUGCAGGCCAGAUUCUGACAUCAUUCCCACCUGUUCUGUAUCAGGAGCGGCAGUCCCUAAGCUGAGCUACUGCUAAGGACAUACCCAGCCCUGAAGAGCAUGGACCCAGCUGAGAUUACAUACUGUGCUGGUCCCCAGCUGCUUAUGGACUGGGACAUCUUCAGAAGUUUCUCCGCAAACUGCCCAGGUGGCUUCUUAUUCAAGAGUGUUGGCAGUUGAUAUGCCCCGGACCCUGGACCAAUAACACGCUUGGACCUUAUGGGGCCAAAAAGCAGUCAGGAGAGACUGGGAUCAAAUUUGUGUUCUGGAGUUGCAAACUCAGGUGCCUGUGGGAGCCAGGAGUAAUCUGAUCUGGGAAGACAAGAAAUGAGUGGCUGAGGCAUGCUCCAACUCAAGGGGUCCCAUAGGUGGAACUAUGGGAGCAUCACAACCAGCUAGGCCUUCACAUUAUCCAAUAAAAGCAAAAACACUUGAAGUUUUCAACAAA